UGUCGAAUGAGAUGAAUGAAACAAAAACGAUUUGUUGUCGGAGGUCAAUGGGCGCCCUGCGCGUGUGUCGGCUUUGAUUUUGGUUCAGCUCAAGUAUUUCGUUUAAGUUAUGGCAGAAAGCUCGAGUGGUGAUGAAAUAGUUACGUAACAGAGAUUCUCGCUCCGGAUCAGUCGCGGGCCCUGGUGCUGUUCGUCGCGAAAGGAAUGUCUGGCAUGCGCCCGUACGAUGAGGUUAGAUGCUCAGCUCGUCGUCAUCCUCAACUUGGUGUCAGCCCCAGGGGAGCACAGGGUUGCUGGCCUCAAUGGGAAUGGCAUCAACGUUUGACCACCGAUAAAUAGAGGCUCCGCGCCCGUCGUCCUGCACCGCCACACAAUGUCCCACAGCCGCCCCGUGACGGAUGGCAAAGAAGGCGGCGCCGCCGGCAGAAGAACCGAUAGCGACGCGGACGGCGGCGUCUCCUCUCGCCGGACCCAGCAGCCUGCAGGCAGCCUGCCCAGCCAGGCGCGACGGUCCACACGACGCUGACGUCAGACCGGGCGUCCCGGCGACCCGCAGGCCACGCCACGCCACGCCUCGCCACGCCACGCCACGCCACGCCACGCCACGCC